AUCCGUGGGAACAAAAAGGAUAGAAGCACCCCAUCCGUGGGAACAAGAAGAAAUAACUCAAAGUAUCCAAAUGUCUAAAACCCUGACUCAGAACCCAGAGAAACCCUAGGAUAAAAGGGAGUCACAGCCAUAGAACAAUUGGAAGUCUCACUGAGGAAAGGAUGCUAUGCCUCAGAUCCGGACAAACAGCACUCCCACCCGCUGUAGAAACUAUUAGGACUUCCCUGACUGAUUGUGGUGUGGAUGUUGUAAGUACCUAUUUGUUGUUCCCCUUUAUCCCUGCUCCUCGUUCUGUUUCCCUUUAUCAAUAAACUUUGAUUGCUUAAACAACCAAAUAGCCUUGGCGGUACCUGUCAUUCCUUGCCUUUUGCAGCUGCAGGCAACACGACUGAACCAUCCUCUGAGGAGCUUUAUAACAUCACAGAAAAGUUAAUCCUAGGAAGAAAGGUAGUUGAUCUACUAGCUUUCAUAUUCCAUUUGCCAAAAGUCCACUUUCCUCACUGCUAGGUUGUGUAUGCAUCAUAAUUAAGCAAGGUUCAUCAGCAUUCCAUGCUCAGUAUCCACAGGGAAGCCCAUGGAAGAAGAUGGGGGUGGGGGAGGUAGGCCAGGGGGGAUACCAAAUUGGAAUGAUCUUGAGGAAAGGCCCAGUUGGCUUGUCCCAGUAUGAAACCCACUCCAGCCCUCAAAGAGCUGACUUCUCACUGAAAGCUAGAACAAGAGACAGUUAUGCAGACUGGGAUCUGAAAUGGUACCUAAUGAGUGGCUGACAAGAUCACAGGAUAAACCGAGUAAUGCACUGCUGAUGCUACACCUCAUACUGUCUCACUCUACCUAUGAGUUCAUCUGCAGCUGCAGUGGGCAGCUCUGUCCAUCAGGCUUACAUCAGCUGAAGUACCACGAAAUCCCAGAUGAAGAUGAAAGGAAGUAGAGGCAUGGAAAGGCUGACGUAUUUGAGGCUGAAGUUCUCCUGCAAAUGUUGAUGGUGUGAGUAACUGGACAAACAGAUUGAAAGGAGGGUGGCCUAGUCCGAGAGCAGGAGGUCUGAAUUAGUGAUUUUGAAAGUAGAGCAGUUAUGAGCUCUUAUGGUCUGAAGUAGACUGUGGAUUUAUUGGGUAAAGAGAAGGCAUUGUAGAUGGGGAUGUGGUGGAGCUGAGAGGCCCUGAUGUUGGAUGGCUUAUUCACAUGGCUGUGAAGUGGCCCAGGAGGACAAUUUCAUGGAAGCCUAUGAGCCAAGAGCCCAAGUCAUCAACGCUCAAGGGGAAGAGAACCGGACGCUGGUAGGUGACCAGUAGGAGGGAGAAAUGAUGCCAUAGUUGAGUGGCAUGAGUCUUAAAUACACAGGGUUUUUGCUUCAUUUCUCAAAAGCAGAAGAGGAGUUCUCCAGGGCUUCAGGUUACCAAGGUUAGGGAGGUGGCUAGAACCUCUAAAUUUCCCAGCUUGUAGAAUUCUAAAACCAUCCUCAAGAUAGUUUCGAUUUUGUAGACAGACGGCUUAUGUUUUUAUGGUCUCCUCUGCUUUUUUGGAUACUGAUUCUAGUUUUACUGGAUUAACCCAGUCAUAAAGCUUCACUCAUCCUAGGGAUCUGAGAGCAUGGUAGACUUUCCAGAAGAUUUUGGGUUUGUUUAGAGAUGAUUUACAAUGAAGCAGCACAAAUAAUUGCCAAUUAAAUCAUGGCCAUCACUGUCCUUGAAAUGUCCCCCA
rnacentral:lncRNA from 1 species